UCAACCCUCAAGCCCGGCUUGUUAUUGGGUCCUUAUCGUUAAAGAUAGGCCCGAAAGAUAAUGGCGGCGUCACAAAUGACCCCAGAUGCAGCGAGCUUAUACAGCAUACAUUGAAAGGUUUUUGUGGCCCGGCCUUAACGAGAAGCAAUUCUCAAUUUUUCAAA
rnacentral:misc_RNA from 1 species